GACGAACGCNGGCGGCGUGCUUAACACAUGCAAGUCGAACGAAGAGCGAUGGAAGCUUGCUUCUAUCAAUCUUAGUGGCGAACGGGUGAGUAACGCGUAAUCAACCUGCCCUUCAGAGGGGGACAACAGUUGGAAACGACUGCUAAUACCGCAUACGAUCUAACCUCGGCAUCGAGGAUAGAUGAAAGGUGGCCUCUACAUGUAAGCUAUCACUGAAGGAGGGGAUUGCGUCUGAUUAGCUAGUUGGAGGGGUAACGGCCCACCAAGGCGAUGAUCAGUAGCCGGUCUGAGAGGAUGAACGGCCAUAUUGGGACUGAGACACGGCCCAGACUCCUACGGGAGGCAGCAGUGGGGAAUCUUCCGCAAUGGACGAAAGUCUGACGGAGCAACGCCGCGUGAGUGAUGACGGCCUUCGGGUUGUAAAGCUCUGUUAAUCGGGACGAAAGGCCUUCUUGCGAAUAGUGAGAAGGAUGACG
rnacentral:rRNA from 1 species